UCAGUGACAUUUGAAUGACUUCAUGCAUUA
rnacentral:piRNA from 1 species